rnacentral:rRNA from 1 species
GUGCAGCAGGCGCGAAACUUCUGCAAUGCGCGAAAGCGUGACAGAGCCAUCCCAGGUGCUUCCCGCUGAGGGAAGCUUUUCUCCAGUCUAAAAAGCUGGAGGAAUAAGAGGGGGGCAAGCCGGGUGUCAGCCGCCGCGGUAAUACCCGCUCCCCGAGUGGUGAGGGCGAUUAUUGGGCUUAAAGCGUCCGUAGCCGGCUCUACAAGUCUUCCGUAAAAUCCAAAGGCCUAACCUUUGGGUCGCGGAAGAUACUGUAGGGCUUGGAGGCGGGAGAGGUCGCGGGUACUUCCUGGGUAGGGGCGAAAUCCUCUGAUCCAGGAAGGACCACCAGUGGCGAAGGCGCGCGGCCAGAACGCGCUCGACGGUGAGGGACGAAAGCUGGGGGAGCGAACCGGAUUAGAUACCCGGGUAGUCCCAGCUGUAAACGAUGCGGACUAAGCGUCGGAGUGGGUACGGCCUACUCCGGUGCUGCAGGGAAACCAUUAAGUCCGCCGCCUGGGGAGUACGGCCGCAAGGCUGAAACUUAAAGGAAUUGGCGGGGGAGCAC